rnacentral:tRNA from 1 species
GCCUUGUUAGCUCAGUCGGAAG